AAGGGGAAAAAUUGCCAUUCCGAGAAACAAUCUUGUUUGAAGACGAUUACUUAGAAAGUCGCCAAUCCAAUUGAUAAUGUAAGGAUUAAUAUCAUAAUCAGAGAACUUAAUCAUAAGUAGGGUGUGAUCUAUAAGGUCAAAGGCCUUCUUGUAGUCCAACACAAAGUCUCUAACAUCAUUACUUAAACCGUCUUGCUUGAGUGUAU